rnacentral:rRNA from 1 species
AUGUGGAACAAAAGACAUGGUAUAAAAAGGAAAGCAAAGACUAAACAGUACAAUGAUGCAGGUUCAGAUGAUGGCUACAGAUAUGGACACCUGUAUACAUAUGGGAUGUUUCCUCCGUCAAUGCCGUCCUUUAAUCCAGUUAAUGAUGCUGAAGUUUUCAAUGGCUUUGGCACCGCAUACAUAUGGGAUGUUUCCUCCGUCAAUGGCUCAAUGCUGUCCUUUAAUCCAGUUAAUGAUGCUGAAGUUUUUAAUGGCUUUGGCAUGCAAAGCCAUCCAAAUGUGGAAAAUAGAUCUCUUGGUUGCAAUGAGGGAGUUGUAUAUGAAGAAGCUCUACAGGUAUAUAAUGUUACGAGUCACUGUAGAAAUAGUAUAUGCUUAAUUGCCUGGUUACUUUGA